UAAGACUUAAUAUUGCCACGAGACCGAUAGCAAACAAGUACUGUGAAGGAAAGUUGCAAAGCACUUUGAAGAGAGAGUUAAAGAGGACGUGAAACCGGUAAGGUGGAAACGGAUAGAGUCGGCGUAUCAUUCAAUUAUUCAGUUACAUUAUUUUUAUGUUGUGACCUCUGAGCUCCAGAUUGGGACAGAGGGAAUCAGCAUAAUUUUUUGUGGUGCAUUUACUUGAUUGGUGCUUGGGGAUGUUUGAGGCAGAUUUGUUUCCGUCGUUUUGAGGCCAGCUUGCUGGUACCCAAACGGUGUUAGCAUUUUUUGUCUUGGGCAUUUGAGUAUGGCUCACGUGUAUUUAUUGGACAGAUCUGAGUGUAAGUUACGGUCGCAUGCGACACGUGCUUUUCAAUUAGUUCGGUCCAGUUAAUGCUCUCGUACUCGUUCCCCAUGUAAAAGCCGGUCAUCUAUCCGACCCGUCUUGAAACACGGACCAAGGAGUUUAUCGUGUGCGCAAGUUUUUGGGUGUUAAAAACUUAAAAGCGAAAUGAAAGUAAAUGACUCUUUAGAGUCUGAUGUGCGAUCUUGU
rnacentral:rRNA from 1 species